GUAAACAUAGUUUAUAAAAACAUUAGAUUGUGAUUCUAAAGACAGAAGUCACCCAACUUCUUGUUUACC
rnacentral:tRNA from 1 species